AGUAAGGUCAGCUAAUUAAGCUAUCGGGCCCAUACCCCGAAAACGUUGGUUUAAAUCCUUCCCGUACUA
rnacentral:tRNA from 12 species